UGAGGAGCUGUAGUGGGCGUGAGGAGCUUCAGUGGGCGUGAGGAGCUGCAGUGGGCGUGAGGAGCUUCAUUGGGUGUGAGGAGCUUCAAUGGGUGUGGAUGUCACCGCCCUGGGACCCCUUGUCCUAUAAUAAAUAGCCCUCAGCUGCACAUAAUACACAAUCUGCUUGUGACACCCAUAAGGACUCACAUCUCGGCUGAGCGCUGCUGUAACUGACCCAUCAUGAGAGCUGUGGUAGUUCUGGUGCUUGCUCUCUAUAUUUUGGCAGUUAUAGCCUCCACAGAAGCUGUUCCUUUAGCUUUUCGGAAAAAGAUGUUAGGCAGAAGGUACUAACUAAUAUACAGAAUGGUAGCGUUGAAGUGUUGAUUACAGGACAUCUGAAUCCAAUAUGGAAAAAAACAGCAAGAAUCCACUACCUGACAAAGGAUCACAAUACCUGCACAGUCUGCCACUGAGAAGAUUCCACCAAUAGAAUCUGCUGAACUCUGGAUAAGCCGAACAAUGGCAAAGAUGGACUUAUGAUUGUAUUCUCAAUUAAAGUGUUUUUCUCAUACAGUCCAACCUUGUUCAAUAGUAAAAGGAAUCCUGUUUGUUAAAUAAAAAUGAUCAUUCCUAAAUAAUGUCUAACCCAUCAAUUAGUUAUAUGCAAUAAAAUCAAAGUUUCAGUUGA